ACAGUCCUUACAUCUGUGACUUCACGGUCGAAAGAUGGGUCCAGACGUCAGCUUCUGUCUGACACAGCCUCCUAGUGCGCCUCUCCUAUUAUCACCAAGUUAAACUCUUUCCCAGAAGCCCACAGCCACACUGGGUCAUAUGGCUACCCCUAGCCAAAUGGCUGGAAAAACAAUAUCUGGGUUUUUAAAUCCCUGAAGUGGGACGUGGGCAAAAGAGGGAAGGAAGGGUUGAUGAAUCAACCAACAGUGUCUGGCACAGGGAGGGCCAAUGCAGUGAGGUGGGAGCUUGAAUUAGUCAGGCUGUAGCCUUCUGUAUUAGUCAGGGUUCUCUAGAGGGACAGAACUAAUGGGAUAGAGAGAUAUAUAUAAAGGGAAAUGUAUUAAGUAUCAACUCAUAUGAUCACAAGGUCCCACAAUAGGCCAUCUGCAAGCUGAGGAGCAAGGAAGCCAGUCUGAGUCCUAAAACUGAAGAACUUGGGGUCCACGAUUCAAGGGCAGGAAGCAGCCAGCACAGAAGAAAGAUGCAGGCUGGGAGGUCUCCCAGGGAGGAAGAGCCAGAGGAGACAGAAGGAAUAGCCAGAGAGUUGGGAGAAAAACCAGGAGUAUGUGGCAUCACGGAAGUCAAGGAGCUCUCAGAGCACAUUCUUUGCUCUAGUUUGUAUCCCUUAGACCAGGGAUCCUCAACCUCCCUCGGGGACCGCACAGUAGGAGGUGAGCAGCGGGUAAGUGAGCAAAGCUUUCACGUACUUAUGGCCGCUCUCCAUCACUCACGGGACCACCCAAGCUCCACCAUCAGAUCAGCAGCAGCAUUAGAGUCUCAUAGGAGCAAGAACCCUGUUGUGAACUGCAGGUGCGAGGGAUCUAGGUUGCCAGCUCCUUGUGAAACUCGAAUGCCUGAUGAUCUGCAACUGUCUCCCAUCCCUCCCAGAUGGGACCAACUCCUUGCAGGAAAACAAGCUCAGGGUCCCACUGAUUCUACGUUACGGUGAGUUGUAUAAUUAUUUCAUUAUAUAUUACUACGUAAUCAUCAUAGAAAUAAAGUGCACAGUAAAUGUAAUGCACCUGAAUCAUUCCAAAACCAUCCCCCACUCCCACCCCAAGACCAUGGAAAAAUUGGCUUCCAUAAAACUGGUCCCUGGUGCCAAAAAGGCUUGAGGUCACCACCCUAGACAGAGUAGGGAUGCUGGAGACGGAACGAGUGAUGCAGGAGGGGAGGUAUUGGUAAGAGGUCGUGAGCUGAAAAGUGGUACAGAGUAGAAAUAACUCCUUGAGAGGAUGAAGGGGCAGCUUAUGAUACAAGAAGGGAAAAGAAAGGGGU
rnacentral:lncRNA from 1 species